UAAACAAAUAAUUCAACUUGAAACUCAUUGCGAAGCCCUCCCUACUCAUUAAUAAUGGUUUUAUGUGAAACUCACAAAAACAAAACAAUCGGAUACCUAUGUAAGAUAAUGUUCUUCCUCCCAACUUUCUACCUCCGGUAUCUCUUCAUCUCCUUCUCUUUCUCACACCUCUUAGACCAAGCAAUGAAUUUCAGUUUUCAUUAAUACCAUUAACUUCCAAGAACUUUCCGUCUCCCUUGCUUUACUAUUAAAGCUUCAUUCUUAUCAAACCGAUUAACACCCCAAACCUUGCAAUCAAGCUUCACAACAAAUGGAACCCUCAACAAAGCUCUGUUUAUCUUCAGUCCUUAGGUUGAAACAUUUUUUCGAAUUGGACCCUCAAUUCGAAAAUGUUUUCCCAUGUGGCUGAUGUUGCCCAAUCAGCCGUCCUCCUUUCAAAUUUUGAUGCUCUCCGAUUUGGUCGUACUUCCCAGUGGCCGCCUCUUCCUCCACUUUUGUGAUUCGCGUUACAUAAAAAACGACGAAGCUAACAGUUACGGGUCGCAAUAAUGUAAAGCAAUGAAGUUUAUCCACCACGGCCAUCAUUUACUCUUCUCCAGUAGAGAAAGGCAAGGUGGUGAACUCAAGAGCGUUGAUAUGCUCCUCCUUGAUGUAAAGACUCGCUGGCCACAAUCAUCUAGAGGUCAAUCAACCUUCAAACUGUCUUCACUCUUCCAACAUAUCUUGCAAGAAGGCUUGGUGUAUGGGUUAAGUGGUUUCAAUGUUGCGAGAAGCAAUCCGAUUUAAGUUUAUCGUGGAAUUCACAGCCACAGCUGAGCCAAGCCCGGAGGAGAGCUUCAGGUUCUGCAAAUACGAAUCUCAUGUCAUUUGCCAGAUAUUGUUGGAGAGAUUAGGGGCAUCAAAACCAUGUAAAACCAAGACACCCAGAGCACUCAACGCCUCAUGGCAGCAAUAAAGCUUGACGAUAGGAAUAAGAUCACUUAUUUGAAUAUCUUGGAAGACAUAUUACAGGGAGUAAGCUAUGAAGUAUGUAGUGUUGCAAUACAAGGAAUCCUUGCUACUCUUUAAGAGUGUAGUGAACUUGAAUAAACUGAUUUAGGCAAGCUCUGUUUUACUGGUUCCUACCGGUUAUAAUGCUAAGUGCUUGAAUUAAUAUCUUUUGCUUUUUUUUCUUAUAUAAAAUGUCUUUGCUUAUACUUUAGAAAUUGUGAGAACACUAACAACCACAGGAGGGUGAGAGAGGUUCAAGCGAAUACGCAGGACUGUAGAGAGAGCCAGAGAGAUAACAUUGUGUGGCCGAGGAUAGAAACUGCAGAGCAAACAGAGAAGAGAGACACCAUUUUGUGGCUGGGUUAUCUUGAGAGGAAAAGAAGGGAGGCUCAAGAGAUAGUGUAUGAUCAACAAAAUAUGGAGGGCCAUAGACGAAUAGAAACUGAAUUGGAAAAUUCAGUUUCGUCUUGCAAGGAGAAUGGAACAUGCAUGUGAGAAACGAAGUGGUUGUUGGAAUUUAAGAGGAAACAAAGUAAAAAGACACAUCAAAUAGUACAGUGAAAUAAUUGCUUUGGACUCAGGAAACUGAUUUGCUGUGAAGAAUUUACAAAUUACCUUUUUAAAACUUAAUCACUUUAUUACAACCAUGUAUUCAUGUUUUAAGUAUUGUUUGGAACUCUUACCUUAAUCCUAAAAUGGGAAGAAGUUAGAAGUGUAUAAAACAAUCUUUUUAUCUUUGAAUUCAAUAGUUCUGAAGCCAAAA